rnacentral:rRNA from 1 species
AGCGUUGUUCGGAAUUACUGGGCGUAAAGCGCACGUAGGCGGAUUGUUUAGUGAGGGGUGAAAUCCCAGGGCUCAACCCUGGAACUGCCUCUCAUACUGGCAAUCUUGAGUUCGAGAGAGGUGAGUGGAAUUCCGAGCGUAG